CACGAAGCAAAUCAACAAUCCAUUUACUGCAGGAAAACCUAAACCAACAAACCAACCUCUUUGACUUUCCUCUGCUCUCAUUUGACCAGGACUUGCUCCCUAUGCUGAUUUUAUGGGACCCCUGCCUGCCAUCUUGGAUUCCCAUGAUUGUGCAGUUGUGGCGCCCCUGUUCUGCCACCCACGCUUCAGAUUCCUUACAAACAUAACAAUGAAUGACCUGGAUCCUGAGACAUCUGGCUGACAGGUUCAACAUGACUGAAUUAAACAUCUCAUACUUUAAUAUAUAAGGAUCGCCUCAGGGAGACAGACCGACACAAACAGGAAGACAGGGUGACAACAAGCCCAUGGUUGCAGUCAGACGCUGGACUUCUGGGACGAGUCACAAUUAGAAUGCUAACCUCGAUUUAGAUAAUUCCUUAGACAAAACCUUAGUCUCCAUUGGUGUUUAUUCUUUGAAACCAUGCUAGUUCACUGUAGUAGUAUUCAUGUAUGUCAGGCCAAAUCACACUUUGCCUGCACUGCAAGUUGUGGCUUUAUUUGUGGAGUAUUUUUAAGUAUUAAUAUGGCUGUAUGAGUAUCAAUGUUUAUGCACUCUGCAAUAUGUAGAUAGGCUGCAUGAUCCGUGCUGCCAUGGUCAGUAAAGAGUGAGUGAGCAUAAAAAGAAUGAGAGAGAGAGAGAGAGAGAGAGAGAGAGAGCAGUGAUGUUUGGCUGCACUUAAGAGAGCACUGCGUCCUCUAUUACUAAUAAGAGUGAUAUUACUGCCACCUAGUGGUUGUUGUAGAGAACUGACUUGUGUUCAGUUGCACUCUGUAUAGGAAGAUAGUAUGAAAACAUAAACACUUAUAUGGUGUUAAUCCAUGCCAUAGUGGCAAAGUCCUGUUUUUAUAUGUGUGUCGAGCAUUAUGUUAUUUGCUAUAACAACAUGUAACAGUUAUUCAACAUGAUGAACUAGCAUAAUGAAAACUGUGAAAUUACGGACAAGACAGAAACAGGGACCUGGUGCGAUCAUUUCUGUAUCUUGUGCAAUCAGUCCUUUCAAUAUCAAUAUUUUGUUAAACAGAUGUAAUUUAUUUUUUUAGGUGGAAAUAAUGUGUAACAAAAUAAAGUAGAUGUGAAUAAU